rnacentral:rRNA from 1 species
GCAUGCCUAAAACAUAGCGUUAAUGCACUAGAUUCCAUUAGAACCCUGCAGUUAAGCAUUCUUAGGCUAGAAUAGUACUAGAAUGGGUGACUGCUUGGGAAUUCCUAGUGUUUUACAUGCC